GCGGCUGCUGCUGCUUCUUGGACCGGAGGCAGAGCCCCUGCUCGAGCUCUUCCUCAUCCUCGGGCGGCUGCAGAGGAGGGGGAGCUGCUCGGGGUGGUUGCUGGCGCGCGUGUGCUGCGCGGGAGGAGGCAAGGUCGAGGCAGAGGAGGAGCGGUGGUGGAGAGCUGAAGUGCUGUGCUGGCUGUCUUGUGUUGUUCCUUGGGCUUGUUCCUUGGGCUUGUUGCUGCUGCGGAUCUGCUGCUGCUACUGGGUGAGCACGCGGGAGUUGCUGUGCGUGGUGCUGAGUUGACUUGCUGCUGGUUUUGCUGAUUGAAGGAGGAAGUCUGCCGAUUGCUGUUGUGUGCAGCUGGUUUGGUCUGUGACUGCUACUGCUGAGUUUGCUGGAGCUGCUUGUUGUUCUGGUGCUGCUGCUAGAGAAGAAGGGUGGCUGUGGUGUUUCUCUGCUGCCUGCACUUGCUGACCGUUGCUGCUUGCUGUUGGUUGUGAGGUAUAGAAAUUGCAAGAGAACAGAGUGCCGCAGAGGAGGUAAUUGGUGAGGCAGUUGGGCAGUGAGUCGAAGCUGCUGUGGAGACCUGAAGUGAAGAGGAACAAUAUGUUAUUUGGUGCAAAUUGCAAGCAGGAGGAGAAUUCAAGGUUUGGAAUGAACCUAAGAAAUAAGAAUUGCUUUGGAUACAAUCAGCCCGGGCAAUGGCAGAAUUGGUAUAGCAGAAGACGUGUUGUUGGUACUGAGAAGUCUUGGCGACGAGAUGGAGAUUGGCUGUGUCCAAAUACAAGAUGUGAGAAUGUAAAUUUUGCAUUCCGAGGUGUCUGUAAUCGCUGCCAGGCAGCACGUUCUACUAAUGUUAGUGCAAAGGGGACAACUAAAAAUGGUGGAAAAUCUCAGACUCUUACUGUCCAAAUGACUACUGAUGAGUUGAAGAAGUGGCUUCGGUUCAAGGAAGGAAUCAUUGAUGAAAGGUCAACAACCAAGAUAUUUGCUACAUCUGCUAACCCCUGUGGUAAUACUUCGAAAUUUGUGAAAGGAAGUUAUUUUGAGGCUGGUACACAGUGGUUAAUAGACUCUGGUGCGUCUAAACAUAUGGCCGGUUCGUAUAAGGAUUUCUGCAGUUAUACUCCUGAUUUUACAGGGCAAAAUGUGACUUGCUGAUGGUUCUGGCCAGAGUAUUAGGGGGGUAGGAACAGUUAAAUGUUGCCCAAAUAUGACUCUAUCAUCUGUUUUACAUGUUCCCUCAUUCCCAAUCAAUUUGCUAUCCAUCAGCUGCAUUACAAGAGAACUUAAUUGUGCUGUAAUCUUCUUCCCAACAUGGUGUUUAUUUCUGGAACUUGGGACUUGGAAAAUCCUUGGGACAGGAAUUAUGCGAGGUGGUCUAUACUACUUGGAUGAUGAUAUGGCACCUAUGGUUGCUGCUGUGCUGUCUCAGUCACCAUUGGAAGAAUUUCUUCUUCAUCAUCGCAGGCUGGGACACAUGUCCUUUGACACCCUGGGUCAGUUAUAUCCUAAUCUCUAUAAUAAAAUUUGCAAUGAAAGCCUAGUAUGUGAUGCCUGUCAGUAUGGGAAGCUAACCCGUAGUAUAUAUACUCCAUCCGAUCACAGAAGUACAGUGCCAUUUCAAACUAUCCACUCAGGUGUGUGGGGUCCUAGUGGGGUGUGGUCACUGUAUGGAUACAAAUCUUUUGUUACAUUUAUUGACUGUUGCACUAGGACCACUUGGGUUUAUGUACUGAGAAAUAAAAGUGACGUGUUUGAAUGUUUUAAGGAUUUCCACAACUUAAUCAAAAAUCAAUAUGAUGCACGAGUGAAAAUAUUUCGAACUGACAAUGGUACAGAAUAUGUAAAUAACCAAUUUGAUGAGUAUUUGUCAAGCUUUGGAAUUAUCCAUCAAACUAGUUGCCCAGGUACUUCCCAGCAGAAUGGGUUGGCUGAAAGGAAAAACAGACAUCUCUUAGAAAUCACCCGGUGUAUCAUGUUAGCUAUGAAUGUUCCUAAAUAUUUGUGGGCUGAAGCUGUGAUGACAGCGGCUUAUUUGAUGAAUAGAAUGCCAUCUCGGGUGCUCAAUAACAAGACACCGAUUGAGUGUCUAACUGGUGAAACUACAUAUGUUGUGCCACCAAAGGUAUUUCGAUGUGUAUGUUUUGUGAGGGAUCAUAAACCAUCGGUUGGCAAGCUUGACCCUAGAGCAGUGAAAUGUGUAUUUGUGGGAUACUCUGGAAAACAAAAGGGUUAUAAAUGUUGGUGCCCAUCAGAAAAACGGAUGUUUGUGAGCAUGGAUGUAGUGUUCAGGGAACAUGAACCAUAUUAUGGGGAACCGGUAGAUUUAACUGAUGUCUUCCCUGAUGAUGUUACAGGCCUGGACAACGAGACAGGGGGAGAUGACAGCAGAGAAGGCAAUGAUGUAGCACCAGAGAAGAUGAUAGUUGGGGUUAUACCUAUUGAAGAUGUGCAAGACUAUGCAGGGCAAGAAAAUGAACAGAGAGAACAACAAAGUGACUCUAAUGGAGCAUUACAAUGGCCAAAACCGAAUGAGGAACGAGAAGUUCAAGUGUUUACACGGAGGCAUAGAAUUGAGAAGGAGCAAGUGCAGAGACAAGAACCUAACCCACCGGAGUGUGGUACAGAAACUCAAGAGCUUACUGAUACAUAUGAUUUAGAUGAUGGUACGCUUCCUCAUUCUCUUUCACAUGAGGACUUAGAUGCUCCUAUUGCUCUUAGGAAGCAACCCCGCACUACUGCUGGGAAAUUACCAUCAAAGCUAUCUCCAUAUGAUGUCUCAAAUUAUGUGUCAUAUGCAUCCUUGGGUUCCAAGUAUAAGUCAUUCGUUGCAGCUUUAGAUUCUAUAGAUCCUAUACCACAUGACUGGCAAGUAGCAAUAAAGGACCCAAGAUGGAGAACAACAAUGUUUGAAGAGAUGGAAGCACUUGACAAAAACAAUACUUGGAUCCUCACCACUCUUCCUGCAGGGAAAAAGACUGUGGGUUGUAAAUGGGUAUUCACUGUAAAACAGACUCCAGAAGGUAAAGUGGAGAGGUACAAGGCCAGGUUAGUAGCAAAGGGGUAUAGCCAAACCUAUGGAGUAGAUUAUGAUGAAACUUUUGCCCCAGUAGCGAAAAUGAACACCGUCAGAACAAUAAUCUCAAUUGCAGCAAACCGUAAUUGGAAGUUGUUUCAAAUGGAUGUUAAAAAUGCAUUUCUCCAUGGAGACUUGCAGGAAGAGGUGUAUAUGGAGAUUCCUCUAGGAUUCAAUAGCCGUGAGACUGAAGGCAAGGUUUGUAAACUAAAAAAAUCCCUCUAUGGUCUGAAACAAUCACCUCGAGCAUGGUUUGAAAGGUUUAGAAAAGGAAUUUGCUCCUUGGGGUAUCGACAAAGCAAUGCUGAUCACACUCUCUUCUUUAAACAUCAUCAUGAUAAGAUUACUAUACUGACUGUAUAUGUUGAUCAUAUAGUAAUCACAGGGGAUGAUGUUGAGGAGAUAUCAUACUUGAAGAAGAUGAUGGCUAAAAUAUUUGAAGUUAAAGACUUGGGCUAUCUUCAUUAUUUUCUGGGGAUUGAAGUUGCUUAUGGGACACAAGGUAUUUACCUUUCUCAAAGGAAGUAUGUACUUGAUCUUCUUAAUGAAACAUGUAUGUUAGGAUGCAAACCAGCGGCUACACCUAUUGAGCAAAAUCAUCGUACCUUGGCAGACUCAGGUGACCCUGUAGAGAAAUACCAAUAUCAGAGGUUAGUUGGCCGUUUAAUCUAUUUAUCGCACACAAGGCCAGAUAUUGCAUAUGCAGUUAGUGUUGUAAGCCGUUAUAUGCAUGAUCCUCGUUCAGGCCAUCUAGAGGUGGUAAAUCGAAUUUUGAGAUAUCUAAAAGGUUGUCCAGGGAAGGGAAUCCUAUUUUCUAAUCAUGGACAUUUGAAGGUAGAGGGAUAUACUGAUGCAGAUUGGGCUGGAUGUCUAGAUGAUAGACGAUCUACAUCAGGUUAUUGUGUGUUUGUUGGCGAUAAUCUAGUUUGCUGGAGAAGUAAAAAGCAAAGUGUGGUGGCACGAUCUACUGCUGAGGCAGAAUUCAGGUCUAUGGCUUCUGGUUUAUUCGAUGGAGGACCACUACAACUCUAUUGUGAUAACCAAGCUGCAAUCAAUAUAGUGCAUAAUCCAGUUCAGCAUGAUAGAACUAAGCAUGUUGAAAUUGAUAGACAUUUCAUUAGAGAGAAGUUAGAUGAGGGGAGCCUUCGUGUUACUUUUGUUAGAUCUGAUAGUCAAUUGGCAGAUGUACUUACAAAAGGUGUUAGUGUUGUGUCUUUUGUAAACUUAUGUAGCAAGAUGGGACUCAUGGAUAUAUUCGCCCCAUCUUGAGGGGGAGUGUUGGAGGUCCUAGCUUAGGAAAAUAGAACUGUGUAGGGGCUAAUAUGUAAUUUGUACAUUGUAUAUAUAGAGGUGAAGGAAGAGCACCUGAGGUGAUUGAAGCUUCAGGAAAUUUCCCCACUGUGAGUCCUCCAACCAACAC
rnacentral:lncRNA from 1 species